rnacentral:rRNA from 1 species
CCUACGGGAGGCUGCAGUGGGGAAUAUUGCGCAAUGGGCGAAAGCCUGACGCAGCGACGCCGCGUGAGGGAUGAAGGUCUUCGGGUCGUAAACCUCUGUCAGCAGGGAAGAACGGUCCCUGUUCUACUCAGCCGUGAAUUGACGGUACCUACAAAGGAAGCACCGGCUAACUCCGUGCCAGCAGCCGCGGUAAUACGGGGGGUGCGAGCGUUAAUCGGAAUAACUGGGCGUAAAGCGCUCGUAGGCGGUAUGUCAAGUCAAGGGUGAAAGCCCCGGGCUCAACGUGGGAACUGCAUUUGAAACUGGGAAACUGGAGUGUGUGAGAGGAGAGUGGAAGUCCAGGUGUAGGAGUGAAAUCCGUAGAUAUCUGGAGGAACAUCAGUGGCGAAGGCGACUAUCUGGAACAUAACUGACGCUGAGGAGCGAAAGCGUGGGUAGCAAACAGGAUUAGAUACCCGGGUAGUC